AUCUUACACACAGCAUACCCACU
rnacentral:miRNA from 1 species